rnacentral:rRNA from 1 species
UGAUGGCCUACCAAGGCGACGACGGGUAGCCGGCCUGAGAGGGCGACCGGCCACACUGGGACUGAGACACGGCCCAGACUCCUACGGGAGGCAGCAGUGGGGAAUAUUGCACAAUGGGCGGAAGCCUGAUGCAGCGACGCCGCGUGAGGGAUGACGGCCUUCGGGUUGUAAACCUCUUUCAGCAGGGAAGAAGCGCAAGUGACGGUACCUGCAGAAGAAGCACCGGCUAACUACGUGCCAGCAGCCGCGGUAAUACGUAGGGUGCGAGCGUUGUCCGGAAUUAUUGGGCGUAAAGAGCUCGUAGGCGGCGUGUCACGUCGGAUGUGAAAGCCCGGGGCUUAACCCUGGGUCUGCAUUCGAUACGGGCAGGCUAGAGUUCGGUAGGGGAGAUCGGAAUUCCUGGUGUAGCGGUGAAAUGCGCAGAUAUCAGGAGGAACACCGGUGGCGAAGGCGGAUCUCUGGGCCGAUACUGACGCUGAGGAGCGAAAGCAUGGGGAGCGAACAGGAUUAGAUACCCUGGUGGUCCAUGCCGUAAACGUUGGGCACUAGGUGUGGGCGACAUUCCACGUUGUCCGUGCCGCAGCUAACGCAUUAAGUG